rnacentral:rRNA from 1 species
GGAUUCCCCUAGUAACUGCGAGUGAAGCGGGAAAAGCUCAAAUUUAAAAUCUGGCAGUCUUUGGCUGUCCGAAUUGUAUUCUGGAGAAGCGUUUUCCGCGCUGGACCGUGUAUAAGUCUCUUGGAAUAGAGCGUCAUAGAGGGUGAGAAUCCCGUCUUUGACACGGACUACCAGUGCUUUGUGAUGCGCUCUCAAAGAGUCGAGUUGUUUGGGAAUGCAGCUCAAAAUGGGUGGUGAAUUCCAUCUAAAGCUAAAUAUUGGCGAGAGACCGAUAGCGAACAAGUACCGUGAGGGAAAGAUGAAAAGCACUUUGGAAAGAGAGUUAAACAGUACGUGAAAUUGCUGAAAGGGAAACGCUUGAAGUCAGUCGCGUCAUUCAGAACUCAGCCUGGCUUUUGCUUGGUGUAUUUUCUGGUUGACGGGCCAGCAUCAAUUUUGACCGCUGGAAAAAGGCUAUGGGAAUGUGGCACCUUUUGGUGUGUUAUAGCCCAUGGUCAUAUACAGCGGUUGGGAUUGAGGACCGCAGCACGCCUUUAUGGUUGGGGUUCGCCCACAUUCGUGCUUAGGAUGCUGGCGUAAUGGCUUUAAACGACCCGUCUUGAAACACGGACCAAGGAGUCUAACAUGCCUGCGAGUGUUUGGGUGGAAAACCCGAGCGCGUAAUGAAAGUGAAAG